GAUGAACGCUGGCGGCGUGCCUAAUACAUGCAAGUCGAGCGAACAGACGAGGAGCUUGCUCCUCUGACGUUAGCGGCGGACGGGUGAGUAACACGUGGAUAACCUACCUAUAAGACUAGGAUAACUUCGGGAAACCGGAGCUAAUACCGGAUAAUAUAUUGAACCGCAUGGUUCAAUAGUGAAAGACGGUUUUGCUGUCACUUAUAGAUGGAUCCGCGCCGCAUUAGCUAGUUGGUAAGGUAACGGCUUACCAAGGCAACGAUGCGUAGCCGACCUGAGAGGGUGAUCGGCCACACUGGAACUGAGACACGGUCCAGACCCCUACGGGAGGCAGCAGUAGGGAAUCUUCCGCAAUGGGCGAAAGCCUGACGGAGCAACGCCGCGUGAGUGAUGAAGGUCUUCGGAUCGUAAAACUCUGUUAUUAGGGAAGAACAAAUGUGUAAGUAACUAUGCACGUCUUGACGGUACCUAAUCAGAAAGCCACGGCUAACUACGUG
rnacentral:rRNA from 1 species